rnacentral:rRNA from 1 species
UACGUAGGGGGCAAGCGUUGUCCGGAAUCAUUGGGCGUAAAGCGCGUGUAGGCGGCCCGGUAAGUCCGCUGUGAAAGUCCAGGGCUCAACCCUGGGAUGCGGGUGGAUACUGCCGGGCUCGAGUCCGGAAGAGGCGAGUGGAAUUCCCGGUGUAGCGGUGAAAUGCGCAGAUAUCGGGAGGAACACCAAUGGCGAAGGCAGCUCGCUGGGACGUGACUGACGCUGAGACGCGAAAGCGUGGGGAGCAAACAGG